AGUGAACGCUGGCGGUAGGCCUAACACAUGCAAGUCGAACGGCAGCACAGUAAGAGCUUGCUCUUACGGGUGGCGAGUGGCGGACGGGUGAGGAAUACAUCGGAAUCUACUUUUUCGUGGGGGAUAACGUAGGGAAACUUACGCUAAUACCGCAUACGACCUACGGGUGAAAGCAGGGGAUCUUCGGACCUUGCGCGAUUGAAUGAGCCGAUGUCGGAUUAGUUAGUUGGGGGGGGAAAGGCCCACCAAGGCGACGAUCCGUACCUGGUCUGAGAGGAGGAUCAGCCACACUGGAACUGAGACACGGUCCAGACUCCUACGGGAGGCAGCAGUGGGGAAUAUUGGACAAUGGGCGCAAGCCUGAUCCAGCCAUACCGCGUGGGUGAAGAAGGCCUUCGGGUUGUAAAGCCCUUUUGUUGGGAAAGAAAAGCAGCAGGUUAAUACCCCGCUGUUCUGACGGUACCCAAAGAAUAAGCACCGGCUAACUUCGUG
rnacentral:rRNA from 1 species